AGAACGAACGCUGGCGGCAGGCUUAACACAUGCAAGUCGAACGCCCCGCAAGGGGAGUGGCAGACGGGUGAGUAACGCGUGGGAAUCUACCCAGUUCUACGGAAUAACACAGGGAAACUUGUGCUAAUACCGUAUACGCCCUACGGGGGAAGAUUUAUCGGGAUUGGAUGAGCCCGCGUUGGAUUAGCUAGUUGGUGGGGUAAUGGCCUACCAAGGCGACGAUCCAUAGCUGGUCUGAGAGGAUGAUCAGCCACACUGGGACUGAGACACGGCCCAGACUCCUACGGGAGGCAGCAGUGGGGAAUAUUGGACAAUGGGCGAAAGCCUGAUCCAGCCAUGCCGCGUGAGUGAUGAAGGCCUUAGGGUUGUAAAGCUCUUUCAGUGGGAAGAUAAUGACGGUACCACAGAAGAAGCCCGGCUAACUUCGUGCCAGCAGCCGC
rnacentral:rRNA from 1 species